rnacentral:snoRNA from 1 species
UUUCAAAGAGUUGAAUUCAGCUUGGGGCAGAUUCCAUGUUCUGUUAAUUAAACUUUGGAGCACUGAAAUUGGCUAAGGAAGACGAUUAGAUAGAAAUAUUACUGUAUUCCUUUACCUCCCAGUAUACAUGC